AGAGGCUGUGGAGUCUCCCUCACUGAAGAUAUUGAAAAACCUUGACACAAUCCUGUGCCAUCUGCUCUGGGAUGACCCUGCUUGAGCAGAGAAGUUCAGCCAGAUGACCCACUGUAGUCCUCUCCAGCCUGACCCAUUCUGUGUGAUUUUUGUGACCCUAAACAAAACAAGACCAUGUGCAUAUAAAGUGGUGUUCCUGUGGUUUUCACUUGGCUGCUGAAGCAGAUAACUAACUUCUCCAGAGAGCUGGGAGUCUGGGGUUGCCUCUGGUGGGCUUGCAGCACUGGAGAGGUUUUAGGAAAAGAAAAAGGCAGCCCUAAGGAAUUGUCUCCAGAGAGCAAGGUGUUCACAGUACCCUGAGAAAGGCUAAAACAACCAUGUAUGCAAUAUCAAAUAGUCAAGUCUAAGUGAACUUAAUCUAGGAGACAAGUGGGAAUGGUGGAGUCCUGAUCUUGUCAUUCAAGAGUAAAGACAUCACAAAAAGCUUCAGGACUAUAGGGCCUGCUCCAGUGGAGAACAAAAGGAGCAUGAGAGCUGAUGGCUGCAUCAGAGGUGCCCAGGCAGUAAUGUAUAGAAGGGAAUUAAACUCCCUUGCAAAGAAGCACAGGACUUGGAGAUGCAGGACAUUGGUUUUGCUGGCUAUUAUAAACUCUUUUCUGGGUGACCUGGGCCAGGUGAGUUUUUGGGGUGUGUGCCUUUUCUUGCUU